rnacentral:rRNA from 1 species
GACGUAGGGCGCGAGCGUUGUCCGGAAUUAUUGGGCGUAAAGGGCUCGUAGGCGGUCUGUCGCGUCGAAAGUGAAAACCCAGGGCUUAACCCUGGGCCUGCUUCCGAUACGGGCAGACUAGAGGUAUGCAGGGGAGAACGGAAUUCCUGGUGUAGCGGUGAAAUGCGCAGAUAUCAGGAGGAACACCGGUGGCGAAGGCGGUUCUCUGGGCAUUACCUGACGCUGAGGAGCGAAAGUGUGGGGAGCGAACAGG